rnacentral:rRNA from 1 species
AUUGAACGCUGGCGGCAGGCCUAACACAUGCAAGUCGAACGAGUGGCGGACGGGUGAGUAAUGUCUGGGACACUGCCUGAUGGAGGGGUAUAACUACUGGAAACGGUCUCUAAUACCACAUUCCCUCAUAUGUGCCCAGAUGGGAUUAGCUAGUGGGUGGGGUAACGGCUCACCAAGGCGACGAUCCCUAGCUGGUCUGAGAGGAUGACCAGCCACACUGGAACUGAGACACGGUCCAGACUCCUACGGGAGGCAGCAGUGGGGAAUAUUGCACAAUGGGCGCAAGCCUGAUGCAGCCAUGCCGCGUGUAUGAAGAAGGCCUUCGGGUUGUAAAGUACUUUCAGCGGGGAGGCGUUACCCGCAGAAGAAGCACCGGCUAACUCCGUGCCAGCAGCCGCGGUAAUAC